rnacentral:rRNA from 1 species
GAUGAACGCUGGCGGCGUGCCUAACACAUGCAAGUCGAACGGGGGCAUUCUGGUAGCAAUACUGGGGUGCUCUAGUGGCGAACGGGUGAGUAACGCGUGAGCAACCUACCUUCCAGAGGGGGAUAACACAGGGAAACCUGUGCUAAUACCGCAUAACGUACGAUGGGGGCAUCCUUAUUGUACCAAAGGAGCAAUCCGCUGGGAGAUGGGCUCGCGUCCGAUUAGGUAGUUGGCGGGGUAACGGCCCACCAAGCCGACGAUCGGUAGCCGGGCUGAGAGGUCGGCCGGCCACAUUGGGACUGAGACACGGUCCAGACUCCUACGGGAGGCAGCAGUAGGGAAUAUUGGACAAUGGGCGCAAGCCUGAUCCAGCCAUGCCGCGUGAGUGAAGAAGGCCCUCGGGUUGUAAAGCUCUUUUGUCCGGAAAGAAAGCGCCGGGUUAAUACCCUGGUGUCCUGACGGUACCGGAAGAAUAAGCACCGGCUAACUUCGUGCCAGCAGCCGCGGUAAGGUA